UACGUAGGGGGCUAGCGUUGUCCGGAAUCAUUGGGCGUAAAGAGCGUGUAGGCGGUCCGGUAAGUCCGCUGUGAAAGUCGGGGGCUCAACCCUCGAAUGCCGGUGGAUACUGUCGGGCUAGAGUGCGGAAGAGGCGAGUGGAAUUCCUGGUGUAGCGGUGAAAUGCGCAGAUAUCAGGAGGAACACCGGUGGCGAAGGCGGCAUCCUGGACCGGUAUUGACGCUGAUGCGCGAAAGCCAGGGGAGCAAACGGG
rnacentral:rRNA from 1 species